AUGAACGCUGGCGGCGUGCCUAACACAUGCAAGUCGAGCGGGGAUCCGGGAAGUAGCAAUACGGACUGGAUUUCAGCGGCGGACGGGUGAGUAACACGUGAGCAAUCUGCCUUCAGCUGGGGAAUAACAUUGUGAAAACAGUGCUAAUACCGCAUGACAUCCGACCGGGACAUCCCGGACGGAUCAAAGGAGAAAUCCGGCAGGAGAUGAGCUCGCGUCCGAUUAGCUGGUUGGUGAGGUAACGGCCCACCAAGGCGACGAUCGGUAGCCGAACUGAGAGGUUGAUCGGCCACAUUGGGACUGAGACACGGCCCAGACUCCUACGGGAGGCAGCAGUGGGGAAUAUUGGGCAAUGGGCGCAAGCCUGACCCAGCAACGCCGCGUGAAGGACGAAGGCCUUCGGGUUGUAAACUUCUUUGAUCAGGGACGAAACAAAUGACGGUACCUGAAGAACAAGCCACGGCUAACUACGU
rnacentral:rRNA from 1 species